CUCCAGACUCCUACGGGAGGCAGCCGUGGGGAAUAUUGCACAAUGGGGGGACCCCUGAUGCAGCGCCUCCUCGUGGGUGCAGGAGCACCUCGGUGCGUCCAGCCCUAUCGUCCUGGAAGAAACCGCCGGUACCUGCCUCUUCAGCCCCGUCUCCCUACGUGCCCGCCGCCGCGGGAAUCCGUCGGUGGCAACCUUUAUCCGGAAUUCCUUGUGGGAAAGGGUGUGUAGGCGGGGCUGCAAGUCAGAGUGGAAAAUUAGGGGAGCAACCCAUAACCUGCGUCUGAAACUGUAGCUCUUGAGAGUGGGAGAGGUAAACGGAAUUCCCGGUGUAGCGGUGAAAUGCGUAGAGAGCGGGAGGAACACCAGUGGCGAAGGCGGUGUACUGGACCACAACUGACGCUGAGACACGAAAGCGUGGGGAGCAAACAGGAUUAGAUACCCUUGUA
rnacentral:rRNA from 1 species